rnacentral:lncRNA from 1 species
AUUAAAUAAAUAGUUUAAAAAUGGUUUUAUUUAUUUAAAAAUCAUUUAAAGAGGAUAUUAAGGAUUUAAAAAUAUUUUAAGUUAUAAUUAAUGACUUUUAAUAUUUGGAUGAAUAGUACAUUAAUAUUUAUAUAUUAAUGGUGAUUAUUUAAAAAUGAUUUUAAUUGUUUUAAAAAUCAUUUAAGGGUAUUAUAAAUGUUUUAAAAAUAGUUUGAGUUAUUAUAAAUAACUUUUAUAUUUUGGAAUUGGUUUCAUUAAUAGUUUAAUAUAAAUUAAUUAUUAAUGAUAAUGGAAUUGUUUAAUGUUUAAGUCAUUUAAUUAUGAUUCCGAUGUUUGAAAGUUAUAGCCGGCCAAACUAGCUGACUAGAGAACCGGUUAUGAAGUCCAGGAUUUGAUGAAGAGCACCCAUAGUAACAGUUAUAUCACUAUAAGCCCUUGAGUGACAGAUUUGAUUUAUUUUAAAUUUUUCAAUUUCUGGAAAAUUCGAAAAUGAUUAAAAGUAAAAUGUCUGAUAUUUACAGAUGUUGAGGUAUAGAAUAAGAGUCUUAGACUCAGUAUUUACCCGAUAAAGCUGUCGGUACGCCGACAAAUGUCAGACCCUAUAAUAGAAAGAAAAGGCUUCUGUAAGAGCAUGGAUGAGAUAUUUGAAAAAUGUAUAAAAAUAUUUCAAGUAUAGAAUAGGAACUAAAAGUAUGAUCACUGUGAUUAUGUGAU